AUGUUGCGGCCUCUUUCAGGUGUCCUGCUUGUGGUUCUUCGCAGUGGGAUUAAACGGGAAGUUGGUGAGCGGCUGUUAUGCAGCGCAAAUCCAACGCUGCCCCCGCAACGGUAAGUGAGUGCAGGGUGAUCUCAUGCCACUGUAUCUUCGGAUAUGGGAAGGUGAUCACCUCGGGUUUUUUGCCCACUCAUAAGCCCGGAGACCGGCCUGAUAUUAAGCCGAGCGU
rnacentral:ncRNA from 23 species